AUUGAACGCUGGCGGCAUGCCUUACACAUGCUAGUCGAACGGCAGCACGGGUGCUUGCACCUGGUGGCGAGUGGCGAACGGGUGAGUAAUACAUCGGAACAUGUCCUGUAGUGGGGGAUAGCCCGGCGAAAGCCGGAUUAAUACCGCAUACGAUCUACGGAUGAAAGCGGGGGACCUUCGGGCCUCGCGCUAUAGGGUUGGCCGAUGGCUGAUUAGCUAGUUGGUGGGGUAAAGGCCUACCAAGGCGACGAUCAGUAGCUGGUCUGAGAGGACGACCAGCCACACUGGGACUGAGACACGGCCCAGACUCCUACGGGAGGCAGCAGUGGGGAAUUUUGGACAAUGGGCGAAAGCCUGAUCCAGCAAUGCCGCGUGUGUGAAGAAGGCCUUCGGGUUGUAAAGCACUUUUGUCCGGAAAGAAAUCCUGGGCCCUAAUACGGUCGGGGGAUGACGGUACCGGAAGAAUAAGCACCGGCUAACUACGUG
rnacentral:rRNA from 1 species